UACGGGGGGGGGCAAGCGUUGUUUGGAAUUACUGGGCGUAAAGGGCUCGUAGGCGGCCAACUAAGUCAGACGUGAAAUCCCUCGGCUUAACCGGGGAACUGCGUCUGAUACUGGAUGGCUUGAGAUUGGGAGAGGGAUGCGGAAUUCCGAGGUGUAGCGGUGAAAUGCGUAGAUAUCAGGGAGGAACACCAAUGGCGAAGGCAGCUCGCUGGGACGGUACUGACGCUGGAGGCGCGAAAGCG
rnacentral:rRNA from 1 species